AACGCAUAUUGCGCCUUCUGGUAUUCCGGAAGGCAUGCUUGUUUGAGUAUCAGUAACAACCUCAACUCUUCUUCAUUGCGGAGAAGGGUUGGAUUUGAGCAUUUUCCACAAGGUUUCGCCUUGGAGGAUUGCUUGAAAUAUGAGGUUCGGCCGGCAGUUGCCUGGGCUACAAGCAUUUCAUACUUAAUCCCGUCAAACGGAUUAUAUCCUUUGCUGCAGCCAACAUACAGGGUAACUUUUUGCCAGUGUUCCGACUGAUGCAGGAAGGUUGAGGAUCUUCACGGUUCUCUUCUAAACUCGAUCUCAAAUCAAGUAAGACUACCCGCUGAACUUAA
rnacentral:misc_RNA from 1 species